rnacentral:rRNA from 1 species
GGGUUGUGAGGUUAAGCGACUAAGCGUACACGGUGGAUGCCCUGGCAGUCAGAGGCGAUGAAGGGCGUGCUAAUCUGCGAUAAGCGCCGGUAAGGUGAUAUGAACCGUUAUAACCGGCGAUACCCGAAUGGGGAAACCCAGUGUGACUCGUCACACUAUCAUUAACUGAAUCCAUAGGUUAAUGAGGCGAACCGGGGGAACUGAAACAUCUAAGUACCCCGAGGAAAAGAAAUCAACCGAGAUUCCCCCAGUAGCGGCGAGCGAACGGGGAGGAGCCCAGAGCCUGAAUCAGCAUGUGUGAUAGUGGAAGCGUCAGGAAAGGCGCGCGAUACAGGGUGACAGCCCCGUGCACAAAAGCGCAUGUGCUGUGAGCUCGAUGAGUAGGGCGGGACAC